rnacentral:rRNA from 1 species
UGUCCCAGCCGCCGCGGUAAGACGAAGGAUCCAAGCGUUGUCCGGAUUUACUGGGUUUAAAGGGUGCGUAGGCGGAAAAUUAAGUCAGUGGUGAAAGCCCGCAGCUCAACUGUGGAACUGCCAUUGAAACUGGUUUUCUUGAAUGUAGCUGAGGCAGAUGGAAUAUAACAUGUAGCGGUGAAAUGCUUAGAUAUGUUAUAGAACACCGAUUGCGAAGGCAGUCUGCUAAACUAUUAUUGACGCUGAGGCACGAAAGCGUGGGGAGCGAACAGGAUUAGAUACCCUGGUAGUCCACGCCCUAAACGUUGAUUACUCGCUGUUGGCGAUAUACUGUCAGUGGCUAAGCGAAAGCGUUAAGUAAUCCACCUGGGAAGUACGACCGCAAGGUUGAAACUCAAAGGAAUUGACGGGGGCCCGCACAAGCGGAGGAGCAUGUGGUUUAAUUCGAUGAUACGCGAGAAACCUUACCUGGGCUUAAAUGUCAGGUGACCGCUGCCGAAAGGUGGCUUCCCUUCGGGGCAACUGGCAAGGUGCUGCAUGGCUGUCGUCAGCUC